GUUUUGCAACAUCCUGACACACGUUCUCUUGUUAAAGGUUGAAAGUGAAGAUGAAUUUUAAUGCUAGUAGUUUUGAUUUGAGUCCAUUGAAAAGGGUGCCUAAUUUUCUGGAAUACCGGGAGGAAGAAAUGAUCAUUUACAAAAACAAUGGGCUCUUCUGUGUGGACAGUGAAGCUCCAUGUCUCCUGGAGAGAAAGAACCCAAGUUUCAAAGAGGUCACCUCUGAAGGUCACCAUUCUGUAACCCUGUGCCAGGAGGUAGAAAGGGAUGAGAGCUAACCAGGACGCGGUGAGAGCUGGCAACGUUGGGCUUAGGUUGUGACACAGGGCGGCACUGGCUGACGUCCAAGGCUACGUUUCCUGAUGUGGCAGGCUCUUUAUAAGAGAGCAGGCAAUGGAGCAUCCUCCAGUGGGCGACAGGGCAGAAGAGACUGUACUCCACUCAGCCCCACCCUGACCCCCAUCCCUGAUUUUCUUGUAGACAGGAUACAUUUUGGGUGAAAAGUUUUGUGGGUGGGUUGGUACCCCUAUCACUCUACUGGGGUUCCUAUCUGGCUACAGGAGGUGUCCUCUUCAGGUUCCACAUCCCCAGUGUAGUGAGUCACAGCUAAGGUCAUCCCCAUUGAUUCUUGGGUGCCUUCCUUAUUCCAAGUCUCUCUCUGGUCCUAGAAAUGCCCCCCAUCUCUCCAACUCUGUCAGUUGCAGAUUUCCAUUCAUUCUUAUGGCCAACUGGCCAUCUCUCCUGAGCCAGGGUCUUGUGAUUUUACUCUUCCUAGCUUGGAACUUGCUGUAUAGACCAGUGUGACCUCAGAUCCACAGAGUUGUGGCUGCUUCUACCUAUGGAGUACUAGGAUUAAAGGAAGACCACACACACAUGCACACGCACAUGUUCUUGAUCUUUUUGUAAAUCAUGUAACUUACUUUCACACAUUUAAAGCAUAGCAGUUCUCAAAAGAUUCUAAGACAAGUAUAUUGUAUUAAUACUCAGCUAUAGUUAGCAACAUUUAGCUUUUAACUUAAUGUCCCAGAGGAACAAUGAAGUUGGAAGGUGAAUUAGUCCAGAGGUCAGAGAAGUUACUAGCUUGGGCAUCAGUACUUGAGUCAUCCUGAUAUCAUGUUAUUUGAAGCCAUAGGAUAAUCUGAGAAUGAGUGUCAAGAAGGUCUGAGGGCUAGGUUCUGUGAGAGGAGUUAGCUCUGGCCAGAGUGGCUUUAAGGACUAGCUCUCCUUAGCCAAGGGACACUCUGGUCCUGUAAGCACUUUAUCCCUAUGGCACUCUCAACUCUUUUUCUUUUGUCACUUUUCAAAGGUUUUGACAGCCACAUAUCCUGAUUCUUGAUCUGUGCAAGGGCACUGAAGAUGGAUGCUUUAGAGGAAGUUACCUGCUGGGAGGAAUCCUUUUGAGAGGGACAAAGGAAGACACUUAACCAUUCUGUUCUGAUCUUCAAUAAACUCUCAAUUGUUAGUUCAGUGUCUGUGAUGAUUAAGAAAUGACAGCACCUUUCCCCAGAAGUUUAUUUUCCUCUGAAGUUAAAAAGCAUCACCAAAGGAUCCAUAGAAAUGGUGACUUUACUGGAUGCCUGUCUCAAUUCAUUUGGUUUGUGACUAAAUUCUUUCUGCUCAGGUACCACUGAAAUUGAGUCUUAAGAUAGUGUCUCAUUCCAUAUACGUUAUCUGCCUUAUUCCCCUGAACAGUUAUCCAGUCUCUUAAAAUCUUUCCUUCAAUCUACACAUGGUUCCAGGUAAAAACUCAAUAAAUGUUUAAAAAAAAUAUUGUGAGAAAUUUCAGAAAAAUGUAUACAAAUGGAGAUAAUUGUUUAAGAAACCUGCAUUCAGUUUCAAUAAUGAAAACAUGGUCUGUCUUGCUUUACCUAUUGCUACACAGUUCUCAACCACAACAAAAUGUAGAAGCAGCUCUUAGAUAUGUUUCCAAAGAUUGUCUUUCCAGAUGGUAGACAGUAGCCUCCUUUUUCUUUCCCUGUCCUUGGAUGGGAAUAGCAAUUCCAAAUACUUCACAAAUAGUUCCUUUGAAAGAGCCUCUUCCUGGUUGUAUAUGACUGUAACCCCUCCAACCCCCUGGAGGCUGAUGCAGGAUUCCAAGUUGCAGGCCAGCCUCUGAGUACAUAGGCUUAAGAUGAAAUAUGAAAGGUUGUGGACAGUCAGCUAUUGAAUGGAUCACAGGGCCCCCAAUGGAGGAGCUAGAGAAAGCACCCAAGGAACUAAAGGGAA
rnacentral:lncRNA from 1 species